CAAAGAUUAAGCCAUGCAUGUCUCAGUGCAAGCCGAAUUAAGGUGAAACCGCGAAAGGCUCAUUAAAUCAGCUAUAAUUUAAUUGAUGGUACGAUCAAUGUUACUUGGAUAACUGUGGCAAUUCUAGAGCUAAUACAUGCAAAACGAAUUCCGACCGCGUGCGGGUUUCGGCUCGCGCGCGGAAAGAAUGCUUUUAUUAGAACAAAACCAAUCGGAUCUUUCGAGGAGCGCGGGAGCGCGGGCGCGCAAGCGAAGCGACGUCGGUUAAUUCCGAAUCGCUUUUUCGCGGAUCGCGCGUCGCGCUCGCGAAAGUUAAAUCCGCGAAAUUCUUGACGAAUCUGAAUAACUUUAAGCUGAUCGCACGGUCACGCACCGGCGACGCAUCUUUCAAAUGUCUGACUUAUCAACUUUCGAUGGUAGGCUACGCGCCUACCAUGGUGAUAACGGGUGACGGGGAAUCAGGGUUCGAUUCCGGAGAGGGAGCCUGAGAAACGGCUACCACAUCCAAGGAAGGCAGCAGGCGCGCAAAUUACCCACUCCCGGCACGGGGAGGUAGUGACGAAAAAUAACGAUGCAGGACUCUUUAUGAGGCUCUGCAAUCGGAAUGAGAACACUCUAAAUCAUUUAACGAGUAUCCAUUGGAGGGCAAGUCUGG
rnacentral:rRNA from 1 species